AUUGAACGCUGGCGGCAUGCCUUACACAUGCAAGUCGAACGGCAUCGCGGGAAAGCUUGCUUUCCUGGCGGCGAGUGGCGAACGGGUGAGUAACACAUCGGAACGUACCGGCUAGUGGGGGAUAACCCGUCGAAAGACGGGCUAAUACCGCAUACGCUCUUCGGAGGAAAGCAGGGGACCUUUGGGCCUUGCGCUAGCCGAGCGGCCGAUGUCCGAUUAGCUAGUUGGUGGGGUAAAGGCCUACCAAGGCGACGAUCGGUAGCGGGUCUGAGAGGACGAUCCGCCACACUGGGACUGAGACACGGCCCAGACUCCUACGGGAGGCAGCAGUGGGGAAUCUUGGACAAUGGGGGCAACCCUGAUCCAGCAAUGCCGCGUGGGCGAAGAAGGCCUUCGGGUUGUAAAGCCCUUUCGGCAGGGAAGAAAUCGGCGGGGCGAAUAACCCUGCUGGAUGACGGUACCUGCAGAAGAAGCACCGGCUAACUACGUG
rnacentral:rRNA from 1 species